rnacentral:lncRNA from 12 species
AAAUUUGUGAAUUGCCUGUUGGAGUUAUGCAUCUGGUUGACAAGAGAGAUCUAGAGGCUUCAUCCAAAUCCAUCCAGGCCUCAACUGCAACUGAACAUCACCUUGGGCAGCCUCCACAACAAUUUAACCAGGAGAGACCUAAUGAUUCCAAGAAUCUUCUGAUUAUUUGGCCCUGUUUCACCAAAAACAGUUUCCCUGUAACUGAGGAAGGUUGGGCUAGGAAGAUACUGAGGAUGCAGGGAGCCACUCUUUAUCACUUGCUUUGCCAGCCAAUGUUGCCUAUUGUUACCAAGACUCACCUUGGAAUAUUUACUUCCCACCACCCCUGA